rnacentral:lncRNA from 1 species
UUUUGGGAAAAAAAUUCAAUUAAAAGGUUAAAUAUUCUCACUUAUUCCUUAUAUAAAUAUUCCUCCCCCCUUAAUCACUCCUAAACACUCUCAAAUAACUCACAAAUAUUGAUUUAACACUCAGUAUUUUUGAACCUCAAAGAAUCUCUUCUCUGAAUAACCACGAAAACUCACAGAUAAUGAUUAGUUGAAUUAUUCAGACCACAGUUUGUAUUAAAGAGGUCUUGCCUUCUAAGGCUAGGAUUCAGUCUCACAUAGCUUUCCUAUUUCCAGGAAAUCUUUAUAUUUUUACAUAAUGACAUUCACAAUUGCUAAUCAUUCACUAGACAUUAUUUUUAAUAAUGAAGAACAAAUGUUUUUUCUCCUUGACCUCAUAGGAGAUCAUCACACUCAUAAUCUUUCUGAAUAUUCAGAUUGUAGAGGAAAUGCAGUUCACUAAAAUCAUGGUACUAAGAAUUCCUC